rnacentral:misc_RNA from 1 species
GAUGAAGAACGCAGCGAAAUGCGAUAAGUAAUGUGAAUUGCAGAAUUCAGUGAAUCAUCGAAUCUUUGAACGCACAUUGCGCCCCCUGGUAUUCCGGGGGGCAUGCCUGUCCGAGCGUCAUUACAACCCUCAAGUUCAGCUUGGUAUUGGGCCCCGCCGACCCGGCGGGCCCUAAAGUCAGUGGCGGUGCCGUCCGGCUCCGAGCGUAGUAAUUCUUCUCGCUCUGGAGGUCCGGUCGUGUGCUCGCCAGCAACCCCCAAUUUUUUUCAGGUUGACCUCGGAUCAGGUAGGGAUACCCGCUGAACUUAAGCAUAUCAAUAAGCGGAGGA